UGGUAGUUUAGCCAAUGACACGUGUCAUUAGGGGAUGAGGCCCCUACUGUGGGUCGACAAGCAGACAUUGAGCGCAUGCAGUGCUUCUAUCUUAGAUUCUAACUUAGAGGCGUUUAGUUAUAAUCUAGAACAUAGUAGCUUCGCACCACUAGCUUUUCAACCAAACGCGAUGACCUAUUAUGUGAAUCAAUGGUUUCUCUAGCACUAGGUUGUUAAGCCAUGGGCUCCACUCUUGAUGAUGCCCAUUGUGGUAGCAAGGCAUCAUUCAUAUUUCUGCCCUUUGAUAUUUUAAUAGUAGGAUGUGGCUUACCAUGGUGGUUAUGGUUGACGGAGAAUUAGGGUUGGAUUCUGGAGAGGGAGCUUGAGAAAUGGCUACCACAUCUAAGGAAGGCAGCAGACAUGCAAAUUACCCAAUCUUGACAUGGGGAGGUAGUGCUAAUAAAUAAUAAUACCUGGUUCAAUGAGUCUAGUAAUUGGAACGAGUACAAUCUAAAUCUUGUAACAAGGAUCGAUUAGAGAUCAAGUCUGGUGCUUGUAGCUGUAGUAAUUCCAGCUCUAAUAACAUAUAUUUAUGUUGUUGUAGUUAAAAAGCUCAUAUUAGACUUUGGGAUGGGCCGGUCGGUCCACCUAUGGUGUACACCAGUCAUCUCGUCCCUUCUAUCGGUGAUGCGCUCUGAGCCUUUACUAGUCGGGUCAUUCCUUUGGUGCUGUUACUUUUAUGAAAUUAGACAGCUCAAAGAAAGCCUAUGCUUUGUAUACAUUAGCAUGGGUUAACAUUAUAGGAUUUUAGUCCUGUUUUGUUGGCCUUCGAGAUUAGAGUAAUGAUUACUAGGGAUAGUUGGGGCAUUUGAAUUUCAUAGUCAGAGGUAAAAUUCAUGGAUUUAUGAAAGAUGAACAACUGUGAAAGAUCUGCUAAGGAUUUUUUCAUAAAUCAAGAAUGAAAGUUGGGGGCUCGAAGAUGAUCAGAUGUUACUUUUAGGAGUCUGCCUCACCUUAUGAGAAAUCAAAGUUUUUAGGUUCUGAGGGGAGGGAGUAUGGUCGUAAAACUAAAACUUAAAUGAAUUAACAGAAGGGCACCGCCAGAAGUGGAGCCUGUGGCUUAAUUUGACUCAACAGGGGAAAACUUACCAGGUCCAAACAGAGUGAGGAUUGACAAACUAAGAGCCCUUUCUUGAUUCUAUGGGUGGUGGUGCACGACCGUUCUUAGUUGGUGGAGCAAUUUGUCUGGUUAAUUCCGUUAACAGAUGGGUCCUCAUCCUGCUAAACAGUUAUGCAGAGGUAUCCCUUUGCCACCAGCUUCUUAGAGGGACUACGACCUUUUAGGCCGCGAAAGUUUGAGGUAAUAAUAGGUUUGUGAUGCCCUUAGAUGUUCUGGGCCGUAGGCGCGCUACACUGAUGUAUUCAAUGAGUUUUAUAUAUGCUUUAAAAAAACCAACUGACAGGAGUUGA
rnacentral:rRNA from 1 species